UACACACCACCUCAGUUUCCUGUGAAUGUGAAUAUGACAAUGUAGUUUUCAGUGUGCCAACUGCUCCAUAGAGAACACUGAUGAUAAUACGUAUCAUAUUCCAAGGCAGAAAAUAGACAUAUUCUUUGACUUGCAGAGGAUACAGAGUAAUACCAAAUACAGAAGGAAUAUAAGAAUAGAGAGAAGACAAUGAAAUGAAGAAUAACAAUAACAGUUGUGAGUAAUCUAAAAUAUUUGUUUUCAUCUUUCCUUUCAAAUUUUCUGUAUGAAAAGCUGAAAUUUUGCUAG
rnacentral:lncRNA from 1 species